rnacentral:lncRNA from 1 species
UCUCUCAGCCAAUCUCUCAGCCAAUUCCUUCUUCUUCCCUUCAAUGCACAGCGAUCUACAAGAUGAUAAAGGCGUUUGGUUUAUGAUGUGCUUUUGAAGCAGGCAACUUUAGUUAAAGAUCAAGUUAUUGAGGUUAAACUAGAUAUUAUGCUUCUUUAAAUAGUUGGGUUAUUGGGUGAAUCUUUUGGUCUUUUGACAGAAGUGAAGAAGUUUGUUCAGAGUAUGCCAAGACACUCUAUUUAGGUCAGUUAGCCUAUUUUUUUGCUCCUUAAAUUUCUUACAAGAAUUUGAAUUUACUUUUUCUUAACUUUAUUUGGGUUAACUGAAUUGUUUAUAAUAUGACAUUUAAAAGAACCAUGCUAAUAGCCCAUAAGAGGCGAAAAGCUAUCUGGGCGAUUUAUGGUGAGGAUUAUGUAUCGGUAUGUCUAAAUGAUGGUUACAAAUGUGAAAAUUUUCUAGAUCGACUUGUGUUAUAGGUUGAAGCUUGAGCUUUCUUAGCAAUAACUGAUUAAAAUGAUGUUGUAUACUUUGAAGGGUCUAUCACGAUACCGUUGAGCUAUCUUUUUUUGGAUUUGUACAAAAUAUUUUGAUAGCAUGGGUAUUUAGACUGGUCAUCCUCUUCCAGCUUCUAUUAUUUCUUUUCUUGAGUGGUGAGAUAAUUUAAAAUAUAGCGCGUUAAAAUGAUUCAUGUAGUAUAGAGUAUGAUUUGAUCUUUUGAUUCUAAUCAAUUCCUUUUACAUAUUUGAUUGUUUGGACUUAUGUGGCAAGCAGAUGAUGUUGCUUCAGUUGCACUCAUUCCAACUCCAGUUUCAGUUUCAACAAAUCCAAAGUGGCUACUGAACUCGCAUUAAAAUACAUUACACUUAGACCUUUCAGUUGGGAUCAAGAUACUGACAAAGUCAAUGGUAAUACCAACGGUUCUAGGAACAAAACCAGAAUUACUCUGACAAUUUAUGUGUUCUUUUGAACGAAGAUAGAAUCUUGAUUAUAAAAAAGAACUCCAAAUCUAAUGAAUCUGUUUGGUUUCUUGAGGUAAUAGUAUUCACAUUUAUUGAUCUUGAAAUGAUAGCGUUCGUUAGGUUUUAUUAGGUGGACACACAAUUUAGACGAGACCAAAAAAGUUUGAAACAAAAGUUGUUGCUUGGAGUGAGGGGUUAUUGGUAAUGCUGAGCGGCCCAUAGUAAUUAGUAGCCCGUGUAUGUCGGGUUUGUAAUAUGUCAAAAACGUUUUGUCAAGUGAUGGUUUGAUUUGAAUUCACUAAAUUUUAUGGUUUGCAAGUAUAUCAUGAAGAUAUGAAGAUGUUUUGAUGAUGAUACCAAGUUUAAACCACUAUAACUAAAUGAAAUUGUUCUGACUUAUUUAGAGAUGUAUGAACAAUUUAUAUAUUUUGUUUAAAAAUUAUGUGUAUUUAAUUUUCAACUUAUU